GCGGGUGUCGUAUAACGGUCAUUAUAUUAGCUUCCCAAGCUAAGGAAGGCGGUUCAACUCCGCUCACCCGCUCCA
rnacentral:tRNA from 1 species